rnacentral:rRNA from 1 species
CCCCACCUUAGAGUUUGAUNCCUGGCUCAGAGCGAACGCUGGCGGCAGGCCUAACACAUGCAAGUCGAACGGACCCUUCGGGGUUAGUGGCGGACGGGUGAGUAACACGUGGGAACGUGCCUUUAGGUUCGGAAUAGCUCCUGGAAACGGGUGGUAAUGCCGAAUGUGCCCUUCGGGGGAAAGAUUUAUCGCCUUUAGAGCGGCCCGCGUCUGAUUAGCUAGUUGGUGAGGUAAAGGCUCACCAAGGCUACGAUCAGUAGCUGGUCUGAGAGGAUGACCAGCCACAUUGGGACUGAGACACGGCCCAAACUCCUACGGGAGGCAGCAGUGGGGAAUCUUGCGCAAUGGGCGAAAGCCUGACGCAGCCAUGCCGCGUGAAUGAUGAAGGUCUUAGGAUUGUAAAAUUCUUUCAGUAGGGACGAUAAUGACG